UGGGAGCACAUGUGAAAGGAUCAAUCAUAUACCCAGGGAGUAUAUUGCAGAACAAGAAGCCAGACUGAGACUGUAAUCCCACAAUCCCUUGCAAGAACAUGUCUAAUCUCCCAGGAACUUCUUUCUAUGCCCACUUUUCAGAAUCCUCACCACAAACUAAAAACCAAGCUCCCAACCCAUGAACCAUUGAGUAACAACACUCAAGCUACAACAGUCUACCCCCUGGCCCUCCCAAGACUGAUGUUCUCCUCACAGUGAAAAUGCAUUCACUCCAUCUCCAAGAGUUCCAAAAUUUUAACUCAUUCCAGAACGGCUUAGUAGUCAAAGUCCAACGUCUUCUCUGAGAUUCAAGGCAAACCCACAGUUGUGAGUCCUUGCAAGAAAUCUUCUGAGCUAAUAGCUGAGUGUUUGAAAUCAAACAGAGCUCUUCCAUGAAUUUACAAGAUCUGUUGGGGAGGGUAUAUUUUGACUAUCAGAGCAAUGUAAGUUUCUAUUCUAGCAUCAAGACCACCUGUCCAGCUAGGAAAGCAGGUUGUUAAAAUGAUAAGAGAGAUGCAAAGUAACACAGACAAGGUUUAUUAUCAGCAAGACGAAACACUGCAUGAUAGUCAGCAUUUCUGAGAAAUUCAGGAGGAAAAGCAUUUGGCAAAGGGGUGGAAAAAUAACCUGAUGAUGGUGUAUCUGUCCCUCACCUAUCUCCCCCCCUCCAGCUCCUAUGCCCCUUUUCUCACUUUAGGAGGAGACAUUGAACAAAGUAAAACAACCACUCUCUGAGCAUCCAAGGUUGUAGAAGUAACAUAUGCUGCCCUUGUUACUUUGAAUCACUUCCCCAGGGCAUUUAUCAUUUGUACACUGAGAUGUUCUGACAGCCACUUGGCACUUGCCUUUUGUCAUGUUGUAAUGGAAUAUGCAUUUCCAUUGCAGUCAAUAUUUUUUCACUUCAAUUACAUGCAGUGAAUCAACCCCUUGCUACAUAGAAAUUUGU